rnacentral:lncRNA from 1 species
AGUGCUUUGAUAAAACCUCAAAUGUGUGGCCUUCCAGCCAGGCAUCUGUGGUUUCAUAUUGUUUAAGCAUUUGUUGCAUCCCUAUGGAUUGCAGCUCUCUAUAGGUUCGCUGUUGCUGAACCAAGAAAUAAGGCAUACACAGAUUUCUAGAGAAAUUGUAAUUCUAUAACAGAUUUUCAGGAGAUGAGGAAGGCUGGUAUCUUUCAGAGUACAAAGUGA